UACGUAGGGGGCAAGCGUUGUCCGGAAUCAUUGGGCGUAAAGCGCGUGUAGGCGGCCAGAAAAGUCCGCUGUGAAAACUCGAGGCUCAACUUCGAGCUGUCGGUGGAAACUUUCUGGCUAGAGUCCGGAAGAGGAGAAUGGAAUUCCUGGUGUAGCGGUGAAAUGCGCAGAUAUCAGGAGGAACACCAAUAGCGAAGGCAGCUCGCUGGGACGGUACUGACACUGAGGCGCGAAAGCGUGGGGAGCGAACAGG
rnacentral:rRNA from 1 species